CCCUCCCUCUGGCGGCAGGCCUAACACAUGCAAGUCGAACGAAGUCUUCGGACUUAGUGGCGCACGGGUGAGUAACACGUGGGAAUAUACCUUACGCUGGGGGAUAACAUCGGGAAACUGAUGCUAAUACCGCAUACGCCCUUCGGGGGAAAGAUUUAUCGGCGAAAGAUUAGCCCGCGUCCGAUUAGCUAGUUGGUGAGGUAAUGGCUCACCAAGGCUCCGAUCGGUAGCUGGUCUGAGAGGAUGACCAGCCACACUGGGACUGAGACACGGCCCAGACUCCUACGGGAGGCAGCAGUGGGGAAUAUUGGACGAUGGGCGCUAGCCUGAUCCAGCCAUGCCGCGUGAGUGAUGAAGGCCUUAGGGUUGUAAAGCUCUUUCACCCACGACGAUGAUGACGGUAGUGGGAGAAGAAGCCCCGGCUAACUUCGUG
rnacentral:rRNA from 1 species